UACGGGGGGGGCAAGCGUUGUUCGGAAUUACUGGGCGUAAAGGGCGCGCAGGCGGGCGGGCAAGUCUCUCGUGAAAGCCCACGGCUCAACCGUGGAACUGCGGGAGAUACUGCUCGUCUUGAGUCCGGGAGAGGAGUGUGGAAUUCCCAGUGUAGCGGUGAAAUGCGUAGAUAUUGGGAGGAACACCGGUGGCGAAGGCGGCACUCUGGACCGGUACUGACGCUGAGGCGCGAAAGCUAGGGGAGCAAACGGG
rnacentral:misc_RNA from 1 species